GCACACUAUCAGUCAAGCUGGCCGAUGGCAUCUACGAUGGCCUAUUGCUCGGCGACAGCGGCUACACCUGCCAGCCGUGGCUGAUGACGCCAUUCCUGUCGCCAUCAUCAGCAGCAGAAGUGAGGUACAACACGGCACACACCACGACAAGGAGUAUUGUUGAAAGGACAAUAGGCCAGCUGAAGCGCAGGUUCCACUGCCUGCACGCCGAGCUGCGCAUGGAGCCAAGCAGAUGCUGCGACAUCAUCGUGGCAUGCUGCGUGCUCCACAAUCUCGCCAAGAGAUACCCCUGCGCGAUGCCAGGGACUGCCAUCCCGCCUGAGGUUCCUGUGGAGCCCAUGGCAGCCGGCCGUGGAGAAAGCAACGAGGCCCGGCGUGCCCUUGUCGACCAGUUCUUCUGUUGAGCGAGGUUCUCCGCCUCCAUCUGCUGCUGGUCCUCAGCUUGCUGCUGAUACCUCUGCGCAGCUUCCCGGCACCAACGUCUCGUCUGCAAGACACGGGGAGCUGCUGCCCACUCUUCUGCUGCUGCCACCCUUUGGCCGCUUCCUGACGCCCGAGGCUGCGGCGCUGCCGUUUGCCUCAAGCUAUCGCUGUGACAAAUGGAUAUGCAGGAAGUGAUUUGCUGUAGUUAUUAGGAGUGUGCAGGCAACAUACGUAUAACAUACAGUGUUUGUAACCCCGACAUGUUGCUGGAAUUUUGCCACAGUGUACUUAACUGUAAAACAGAAACUCUCUGAUGCUUCAAGCAUCUCCGAGUGGACCACACACGUGGUGCUCAUGCAGAAAUCCAUGCUCACCGUAAUAUCCCGAGAAAUUGCCCACCCAAAAAUGAGAGCACAUUAGGUAAAAAUAAGGGGUAGGCUAACAUUCGGUGUUCACAAGGUAGCUCAACUUGAGCCAUUGAAAAAUAGAAAGUCCUGCUACAAAUCAGGAUGGGCUAUCUGUUGGGGAUGGGUCGUCUCUCGGGAUAUUACGGUAAUAUUCCUUGUACCGGUUGCAACUUUCAGUAUUUCAUUACCUUUAGCUUUCUUAUAAAUUUCUUAACCUUGCCAUUUAUUUCACCUAAGGAUGUUGUGAAACCAAACAUUCAAGUCUCGUUGUUUACGAAAUCCACGA